UGCCAGACUCCUACGGGAGGCAGCAGUGGGGAAUAUUGCGCAAUGGGCGAAAGCCUGACGCAGCGACGCCGCGUGAGGGAUGAAGGUCUUCGGAUCGUAAACCUCUGUCAGCAGGGAAGAACGGUCACUGUGCUAAUCAGCAGUGAAUUGACGGUACCUGCAAAGGAAGCACCGGCUAACUACGUGCCAGCAGCCGCGGUAAUACGUAGGGGGCAAGCGUUAUCCGGAUUUACUGGGUGUAAAGGGAGCGUAGACGGCAUAGCAAGUCUGAAGUGAAAGCCCAAGGCUCAACCAUGGGACUGCUUUGGAAACUGUUAAGCUAGAGUGCUGGAGAGGUAAGCGGAAUUCCUAGUGUAGCGGUGAAAUGCGUAGAUAUUAGGAAGAACACCAGUGGCGAAGGCGGCUUUCUGGACUGAAACUGACGCUGAGGCUCGAAAGCGUGGGGAGCGAACAGGAUUAGAUACCCGGGUAUA
rnacentral:rRNA from 1 species